AUCGACACUCUGGAAAGCGGAUGGACGGCUCUUGGGCCGGUCAUCCCACCGAAGGGGUAAGCCCGGCCGCCGCAGGCCAGGCGAAUGCUCUCAGGUUCCGUGACAGAGGGGGCAAU
rnacentral:ncRNA from 2 species